rnacentral:rRNA from 1 species
UACGUAGGGGGCAAGCGUUGUCCGGAAUCAUUGGGCGUAAAGAGCGCGUAGGCGGUCCGGUAAGUCCGCUGUGAAAGUCGGGGGCUCAACCCUCGAAUGCCGGUGGAUACUGCCGGGCUAGAGUCCGGAAGAGGCGAGUGGAAUUCCUGGUGUAGCGGUGAAAUGCGCAGAUAUCAGGAGGAACACCGGUGGCGAAGGCGGUUCUCUGGGCCUGUACUGACGCUGAGGAACGAAAGCGUGGGGAGCGAACAGG